rnacentral:rRNA from 1 species
UACGUAGGGUGCAAGCGUUGUCCGGAAUUAUUGGGCGUAAAGAGCUCGUAGGCGGCCUGUUGCGUCCGCUGUGAAAUCCCGGGGCUCAACCCCGGGCCUGCAGUGGAUACGGGCUGGCUAGAGGCAGGCAGGGGAGAACGGAAUUCCUGGUGUAGCGGUGAAAUGCGCAGAUAUCAGGAGGAACACCGGUGGCGAAGGCGGUUCUCUGGGCCUGUACUGACGCUGAGGAGCGAAAGUGUGGGGAGCGAACAGG